rnacentral:ncRNA from 1 species
AUGUUGCGUGAAAAAGAAGGUUAGCAUUCCACUUGAUAAAGAUGGAAGAGGCUCUAAUGACCUUUUCAGCACACGUAUGAUUAUGGCAUUGCAUCUAUUCUGUGAUAUCUAAUCAUGUAUGUAA